CUAAUUAAACUUAAGCUCAUAAUUAAGCUAACAGUGACUAAUUAAUGAAGAACACGUGCGCUCCAUGCUCACGACCAGAGUAAGCUGCUACUGCUGAAGAAAGACUUGCCAAACGGUGCGUUUCAUUUAAUGAAGCCUUGGAUUCCCAGGUUGACUCGUAACAGGUGCUGCUGCCUCAAGAAACUCGAUUUUGCCUAUCACUGCGUCUGUAAUGGCAGUUGGAUCAACUGGGUUUCUGUUCCAUCAUGUCUCUGCUGUCCGUCAGGACAAAGAGGCUUAUAGGAAAGAGAAGCUCUCGAUUAGGCGUGACCAACUUGAGAUGAUUAAGGAGACCAAGAAUUCUAUUUCUACAGCUAUAACCGAUUUCAAGAAUUUUGUCAGGGAUGAGUCUAAUAGCGUGGGUAAGACGAAGAAGUGAUAAGUUAACAUGCAUAUCUAUCAACACCUUGCAUUUGCUUACUAUUGAUUUUUAAUUUUAUUUUCAUGAAAAAAAAAAAAUUAACUUCAGAAAUCUACAAUGAGAACGUUUGCUUAUUUUUGUAUGUGACUGAUGCGUGAUUUCUCUAUAUUUUGGCUUCAAUGGGGAUAAACAGUCAGUGAAUAAAACGAGCUCAAACUUUUUCUUCAAUUUUUUUGAAUUUGAUGAAACACGCAAUUCAUCACUCAUCAUAACUUUAACUAUAUUCAUAAGAAUUCAAAUUUAAAGACAAAUAAAUUGAAUCUUUUCAUUAUUAUUUUCAAAGCUCAUAAAGCAAUUUCCGACCAACAAGACUUACGAAGUAGGAUUUGUGAAGAAUUUUUGCCUUUUGAACCUAAGAAAAGCUCC